GUUUAAAAAGUAAAUUUCCCCCCGCCCCCACCCCACCACCAGUACCAGCAGCAAUGCUCCCGGGUAGAACUAGCCAUCAGAAGAAUGGAAACCCCUUUCCCUCUGCAGCAAUCCGGUCUGCCUCCCCAGCUCACAAAUGUGCUGUGCUCAGCAUUUCUGUGCUGAUGCAGCAUGGAGGGUAGAAAAGGCAGGGGCGGCCGCAGCAGCCGCUGCAGCAGUUGCUCUAGGGGGUGGAAAGCAGCUUGCACCAUCUCUACCUCAUUUGGCAGCAGAAGCACCGAGUCUCAAGGAGGAUGAAGUUCUAGUCCUUAAGCAGCUGGGCUAUGUCAUUCUAAAGGUGAUCUCCUGCCUUGGGUUGGGCUGGCUGAAUCGCUGGGGACGGCCACCAGUCUCUUAUAACGGAGAACAAAAAGACGAAGACCCUGUGGGGACGCCGGGACAAAGCGCCUCCGGCUUGGCGAGGGGGACCGCAGGAGCGCUGGCUCCGGGCACGCGCGAUCGCUGCUGAAGGGCGUCCGCCCGGCGCGCGGACCUCUGCGGCCGCAUUAUACACGAGUGACCUUUUAAAUCUACGUCCACCCUUUACCUGGUAAAGCCCGCUGACAGUUGGGGGUGGGGUGGGGUGGGGAGUGUAGGGGUGUUCUCUCUCUCUCUCUCCUCCCUCCCUCUGUCUCUCCUCCCUCGCUCCCCCCUUCACUCUCUCUUCCUCCCUCCCACCUCCCUCACUCCCUCCCUCCCUGCUGCAUUUUGCAUGAGCUAUCUAGGUCAUUAGCAUUUUAGCGUAUGCAAGACUUGACAAAGCUGACGAGGGGCCAGAUGGGCCUCGCUCUUAUGGGUUUUUUUUCCCUCUCUCUCUCCUCUCCCUCUCCUUUCCUUUUUCCCCUCCACCACUUGGGACCCGAGCGCGAGGACUGCAGCAGGCGAGUUCCGGAAGGCUGAUUCCCGAGAUCCCGGCCCCGGACCCGCAGCCGCCCUGCGGCACGCCCGGACCCCGCCGGCGGCGAG
rnacentral:lncRNA from 1 species